AACUCAGUGGUUUAAUGGUAAAGUGUUCGCCGUGGAGCCAGAGGGUCCUCUGUUCGAUCCCCAGUGGGGUCG
rnacentral:tRNA from 1 species